UUCUCAGAAUUAGUUGUUGCACCUAUUUCCUUUAGAUCCAUAGUUGUGACUCUGUGCUCCACGAUAUCGUCAUGCCUAUGCCACAUUAUGAUCUCACCACCCUGUGAUGCCAUCGCCAAAGCAUGAUCUCUCUCCCACUGUCUUCUCCACCUACUGGCAACUGCAUGCUGCUUGCAGUCCAUCAGGGCUUUCAUCACCACCACUCUGCAUGCCUUACAAUCAUCACCAUGGCUACUGAUUCACCUUACUACCACCCCUUUCUUUCAUUCUAG
rnacentral:lncRNA from 1 species